GCAUCGGUUUAGCUCAAUGGUUACUUCGUGAAAACUUACAUACUCUCUACACGGUCCGCAGGUUCUGUCAGCAGCUCCUUCGGGCCGCAGGAGUUCGACCAUGGGCGCUGUCCGAUGUUUUU
rnacentral:vault_RNA from 1 species